UAGAGAUCAAAUUUAAAUAUUCUUACGUUCGAGAAAUACGUCACUAACGGCUCUCGAAUUACGGAGAAAUCCAUAUCAAAUCUAUAUAUGCCUACGUUCGAGAAAUACGCUACUGACAGGCCCUCGAAUUACGGUGAAAAUCAAGAGAGAAGAAUCAAGGGAGGAACAAAUUUGUAUCCACUUCGUUUAUUAAUAAAAAAUCAUGUUUCUUCAUAUUUUUUUUGUGAUUACAAUUUAUUUCAGUCACCAUAAAAAUUUGUUGGAAACAGAAUCUAACAGGUUAGCCCAUAUAUUUCUUUCCUCCCCCUUCACAUUUUUUCUUACACCCAGAACAUGCAGCAACACCAUGAUGUGUUUGUCUCCUCCUCUAUCUACUGCAACAUCCCCUCCACCCCUAACCAUUGUUUAUGGUCGGCACUGGAUUUCGAAAUGAAAUUUUCGAUGGUUGAAAUUGCGGUAAAAUGAUAAAAAAAAGAAACACCCUUUAGAUGAGGGUUGUGAUAGCUAAAAUUGAGGGAGAAAUGACAAAAAAAAAUGCU
rnacentral:lncRNA from 1 species